UAAGGAAUAUUGGUCAAUGGACGCAAGUCUGAACCAGCCAUGCCGCGUGAAGGAUGACUGCCCUCUGGGUUGUAAACUUCUUUUAUAGGGGGAGAAAAAAGGGUUUUUUAACCCGUCUGACGGUACCCUAUGAAUAAGCACCGGCUAACUCCGUGCCAGCAGCCGCGGUAAUACGGAGGGUGCAAGCGUUAUCCGGAUUCACUGGGUUUAAAGGGAGCGCAGGCGGAUUGGUAAGUCAGUGGUGAAAGCCUUAAGCUUAACUUGGGAACUGCCAUUGAUACUAUCAGUCUUGAAUAUUGUUGAGGUUUGCGGAAUGGGUCAUGUAGCGGUGAAAUGCAUAGAUAUGACCCGGAACACCUAUUGCGAAGGCAGCAGGCUAAACAAAGAUUGACGCUGAGGCUCGAAAGCGUGGGGAGCGA
rnacentral:rRNA from 1 species